CAUCCGCCAUUAAACACCAAGAAGAAGAAGAAGAAGAAGGAAGUAGGCUGUUCUCGCUGACUCGCUCUGUAGUUUAAUGUAAACUGAACAUGUCGAGGGGUCAAAUCAUUGGGAUUACAGCUGGGGCUGCUGACAUGCAGCUUUUCACUUCACACGACAUUAGCUGAUGGACUGAAGUAGUGUCGAUUAUUUGGAUUAUUGUGAUUUUUUUUUUGUGUAAUCAUCUGUUUGGACUCUCAUUUU